GAAUGAGAUAUCAGCUAGUGGGGAAGCUCCCUGUGAGCAAUAGGAGUAGGCUGUGGUCCCGGGUAACCAACUUUUUCAGUUUCUAGAUGUCUCAUGAUAAUCUCUCUUUUUUUUUUUUUUUUUUUACUUUCCUUUUCCACCAGAAGUCAGAGCUUCUGAAAUUGCCUGCUUAUCUGUAAAUGGCAUUUUUAAUCUAGAAAAGCGUCGGUGAUGGAUUAGUCCCUGGUUAAAGUAACUGAGCUGAACCCACAGAUGCCGAAUUACACGGGAGGGAGUUCUGAUAUCCACCCCGCUGCGCUCCAGAGAGCAACUGGAUUUAAAGCCCCGACUCUAGCCCUGUAAAUUACAGAACACAAGUGCCGUGCCAGCGCAGUCGGUUGCAGGGGAGCAGUCAGUCACAGCACUACAGCCCUCCUGGAGCCGAGCUGGAAAUUGCCUGGGAGGACCCAGAGCUUGUUUGUGGACCCAGCUACUAUGCUUGAUCUUCUCGUAGAGCAGAGGCUGCUUUUGGUUGAGGAAGAAUAAUGCAGCACAGGAUGACUCUGAUAACUCACUGUGAUCACCCAGUGAAUAUUGUCACGGUGAGUCUCUGCUGGUCCCUGAAGGACUCCUGGAUGUGCUGUGCCUUUCCUGUGGGUUAGAAGUGGUUACAGCCACAAAGAAAUGAACAACUCAGCUAAGGCUCUGUAGUUGCUACCCUCUGACUGGACAGAUGGAAGCUCCUAAAUCCACAGUCUUACUGUGAGCCUAAACAUUGUCAUUAGCAAAUAAUUACCAUAAUUUAAUCAUGCCAACUUUACCACAGGAGAAAUAUCUAGGAAAAGUUAUGAAUUUUAGUCAUUCAUAGCAGCUGGUGUCAAUGAAGGCACGUGAAUUUGUGUUCUUUUGAGCUGACCGGUAAAUGGCAGUGAAAGAGGAACUUUGCUGUGUCAGUUUUGCUUUGUCUCUCCAGACUGUCACCACAAUUUGCAGCAGUCAAGUGAGGGCUCACUUGGAGGGGAUGUGGCGUCCCGGUGGGGGUGUGCUCUGCAGGGCUCUGAACUGCAGCCAGAAAUAAAGCCCCGGUGCAGCAGCAGCACAUUUAUGGCCCAGCCUGGUGGUCCAGCCCCUCGCUUUGCUGUCUGCACAGCGAUUGCACAGCCAAGCCCCAUAUGCAUCAUGAACAUUUUAUUGUAUGUUUUGGAAUACGGAGCACAUAUGUGGAAGAGACUCACUUGCUUUUCCAGCUGCAUAGUCAAACUGUGUCUGAAGUGGAAGAUCAGAAAAAAAAAAAAAAACCGAAAGAAAAAAAAAACAACACUAUUUAUUGCUGUUGCUGUAGAUAGCACCAGUGAAGACACCCCUUGUGAAUCCUUGGGUCUCAUCACUCAGAAGUCCACUCUGAUUUCUUUUCUCAGAUGUCUAAAUGAGUGUGCUUGGACUGACUUCCUUCUUCAGCCCCCUCAAAAAACUUGACUGGAGUACUUGGUAUUUCCGUGCUGUCAAUAUCUGAUGAAUUCCUCCUUCCAAAACCCAAAGGAAAAUUAGCAGAGUGGGUUUCCCAAUUAGUUCUGAAUAUGCAUAGAUCAAGACAGAAGAAGAAAAGGAAACAUGAGGAGGGAAAACAGUUAAAAAGUCUUCAUUUGGGGUAGAUUUUUUUUUUUUUUUAAUCUAUUAUGUAUUGUAGGGGGAGUUACUGCUUUAAAGUGGGGUGAGAAGUAGCAAUGCAUCUCAGAAGUCUUUACUUCAUUUCUCUUAACACUGGGUAUCAUAAGAUUUCUUUAAAAAUGAAUUGCUUCCAGCUAACCUAAAUUGGGGCUGUGCUUUGAGGAAAGCAAUUCCCCAGCAAGUGUGGGUGAAGCCUGUUGGGGGAUGGCAGUUCUUCCUCCCUGUCCAUCUGCCAGCUGCCUCAGCCCACAGUCUGCUCUAUUCCCAGCUGGGAAAUAAUGAGCUUCAAAAAAAAGAUAGCAAAACAGUCAAACAUAUAUUGAAAUAGCAGAACCAUUGAAACUACAUUUUAGAAAAAGCCAUCAUAUUGGCUAAUGCAGCUUAACAAGAGCAAAAAAUCUUUGCAUUAACCUUUGCACCGCUUACAGAUGGGGUAAUCUAUUAUUCUAGGGCAGGUUUACCUUCUAACACAUACAGUGAAAUGUGAAAAGCAAUACAUGCAGCAGUUUAAAACCAUUCCUUAAAAGAAGAGGAAUAAAGUAUUAAGAGGAGUAUGAUAAGCAGUUUACCCUCUGUAGUCUUUUCAAUGCAAGUGUAGGUAUUAUGAGACCAAUCUCUGAAAAUAUACGUCAAUUUACUUUGUAUUAAACGGUGAUCUAUUGCUUCUCAAAUUAUUUCUAUGCAUUUUUAUAAA